rnacentral:lncRNA from 1 species
AUGUUAAUGUUCAUGGCAGUUUAUAUGUAUGCAAGUUUUGGCACAAUGAAUAAAUGAUUAUUGUCCAUUGAAAUUGAUAAUGUAAUGGUUAAAUGAUCAAGGGGGCGACAAUAUAGAACUUGGGGAAGGUUCCAACACAUUGGGUUAAAGCUGGUUGCAAAAGUGUCAUUGGUGAAGGGCUACAAUUGAAGUCAAUUUUCCAAGAUUUCAUCAUUUCCAAGUUUGUAAUUACCUUCCCCUUUUGUUUGCCUUGGUUGAUUUUGGUUAAUUGCCAUCUUGCCUUGUUGUGUGUAUCUUUUUCUUUUACUUCACUAUACUUUUAUGAUAUAGCUAUAGCUAGAUCUGUUGUGUUUCUUGGUUUUCCUCUUGCUUGAAACUAUAAUGAGCCAAGGUAGAGUCAAAAUAAAGGGUGUAUAAAUAGUGAAAGAAAAGGGAAGAAGAGUGUGUGAAGGGUUGAGAGAGAAAGAGAGAUAGAGAGAGAGCGAGAGAGAGAAAGAAAGAGAGAAAGAGGAGUCAAGGAAAACAGUAAAAAGUUGACAGCAAAAGCAUUAACUAUUAUAGGGAACAAAUAAGACCAAAGUCAGCUAAGGUUUAUAACAUUGGAUCUCUUUAUGCCUCUCAAAACUGUGUGGGAGCGUUGAAUGGUUGUCUACUACUUUUACAAGUCUUUAACCCCAUAAAACCAAACAAUAAUGUUAAUUAGAUAAAGGUGGUGACUCCUGCAAACUAAAAUAUUCAUCACAUUCUCCUUAUAACUCAAAAUUAGUGGUCUACUUAAGUUAUUUUGUGCAUAUUUGGGUUGUUGGAAGUUCAUUUAGAAUUACAGUGUUUUUGUGUUGUAUCUUACCUGUUAUUGAG